CCAGACUCCUACGGGAGGCAGCAGUGAGGAAUAUUGGUCAAUGGGCGGAAGCCUGAACCAGCCAAGUCGCGUGAGGGACUAAGGCCCUGCGGGUCGUAAACCUCUUUUGCCGGGGAGCAGUGGUACGGACGCGUACGGACCGGGAGAGUACCCGAAGAAAAAGCAUCGGCUAACUCCGUGCCAGCAGCCGCGGUAAUACGGAGGAUGCGAGCGUUAUCCGGAUUUAUUGGGUUUAAAGGGUGCGCAGGCGGAGGUGCAAGUCAGCGGUCAAAUUGCGGGGCUCAACCCCGUACUGCCGUUGAAACUGCAUCCCUUGAGUGCGCGAGAAGUAUGCGGAAUGCGUGGUGUAGCGGUGAAAUGCAUAGAUAUCACGCAGAACUCCGAUUGCGAAGGCAGCAUACCGGCGCGCAACUGACGCUCAUGCACGAAAGCGUGGGUAUCGAACAGGAUUAGAUACCCUCGUAGA
rnacentral:rRNA from 1 species